UACAGAGGUCUCAAGCGUUGUUCGGAUUCAUUGGGCGUAAAGGGUGCGUAGGCGGCGCGGUAAGUCGGGUGUGAAAUCUCGGAGCUUAACUCCGAAACUGCAUUCGAUACUGCCGUGCUUGAGGACUGGAGAGGAGAUUGGAAUUCAUGGUGUAGCAGUGAAAUGCGUAGAUAUCAUGAGGAAGACCAGUGGCGAAGGCGGAUCUCUGGACAGUUCCUGACACUGAGGCACGAAGGCCAGGGGAGCAAACGGG
rnacentral:rRNA from 1 species